rnacentral:rRNA from 1 species
UACGUAGGGGGCAAGCGUUGUCCGGAAUCAUUGGGCGUAAAGUGCGUGUAGGCGGCCCGGUAAGUCCGCUGUGAAAGUCCAGGGCUCAACCCUGGGAUGCCGGUGGAUACUGUCGGGCUCGAGUCCGGAAGAGGAGUGUGGAAUUCCUGGUGUAGCGGUGAAAUGCGCAGAUAUCAGGAGGAACACCGAUGGCGAAGGCAGCACUCUGGGACGUGACUGACGCUGAGACGCGAAAGCGUGGGGAGCAAACAGG